GAGAACGAAUGUGCAGCAUUAAGCAGUGUUUUCCACAGGGACUCGUUAAACAUGUACACUGUAAAAUGUAAUUGUUGACUUUACUUAAAAAAAUGAGUGCCCUUAACUAAUUUCUGCUUAAUUUGUUGACCAUACUGAAGAUAACUUAGUAAAGUUACUUUCUGCUCCGGAAAGUUAUGAAACUUUCAAGUAACGUUUACUUAAAAACCCGGAGAUACUCGGCUGCACUCGGCUCUAAUACGCAUGCGCACUCGACCACCGAAGACGUGAUUUCCUUUGAGGCGGCUGCUGGAAGCGGGAAAAAAGCGCUGCUCGGUCCAGAAGGUAAGUUUCAGCUAACGUCACAUGAUCAAAUGUUACCGUUUACUGGCACCGUUCUACCUAGCAAACUUACUCGUCCAUUUGCCAUAUUAUUCACGUGUUAGUCAACGUUAGUUUUGGGGGGUUAACUUUUAUCUCUUCGAUUUUCAAAGCUAACGUUAGCCGUUAACAGUUAAGCUAACGUUAGCUUGACCGUCAGUGUGGAACCUUCUAGAAUAAAUGUAACGUUGAAUAUAACAACAACUUGCGUUUCAGAAUACUCUGAAUGCUUAUUAGCAGGGGUAAGAAGGUAUUUUUGUUAGCUUUUUUAUUGUUUGUCUCCGACUGUUUUCUACGGUGCAGCAAAACGUGACUUCAAAGAAGCGACCUCACCGGGAAACAUACUCCCGUUCAUCAAUUUAACGUUAGUAACGUUAACUUGCACUGCACUUAUACGACUUAUUCACUUAGCGCUAUUACAUUUGAUGUUAACGUUAGUUAACCGAAACAUGUAUUAACUUAUUUAACGUCCGACAGGACAGUAGCGGUUAUUAACGUAAUAACGGUUAAACAACGUGGCCGCCUAACGCACGGUUAUUAAUUACCGCACCGCAUUGUCUGAGUCACGGUAGUCAUUGCGUAAAGACAAAUGUAACGUUAAAAAAAACCUUCUAUUUUAAUACUUACGAAAUUUAGCCAAAAUGCAAAAAGGAACCUUUAAGCUCUCCCAUCCCAUGAUUGCUUUUGUUGUUUCUUUUGCAGCUUUGCAGAACAAACGUAAAUGGAAGUGUUGGCCAGCAACUUCAGGAAUAUCUGCAACAAGUCACUACAGCAGGUACAGAUGUUACUGGGAUGCAAACAGCAGUCCUCCGUGGCCUUCCUGUCAUCCUUGGAGAUGAGAACACAGACUUCUUUAAGACAUGCUUUCUAAGUAGACUUUACUCAAAAUUAUUAUCGGACUCUCGAGACAUGUCGCACACAUUCAUGGGGAUCCUGACAGUGAUUGCCGAAGACGGUGCCGCCUCUCUUCACUCGCUGCACCUUGAAUCCACAACUACUGCCGUCAUUUUGGAAGGAACACUGGUGAUAAAUUUCCCAUCAAAAUCUGCCACAUCCCAUGUGCCUGCUACCCUCCGAUACCGAGGAACAUCUUUGGGUUUGUUCAUAGAGUGCUUCUCUCACUUGGACCAAAAUCCCUCAAACCCAAACUACAAUCACUCAAAAACCUACUAAUGCAGUGAGGGGUUGUCUUCAUGAUGUUUAUGGUCUGUGAUAUGCUGCGUUAGACCCAAGACCUUCACCCUUACUCUUUACUAUGGAAAAUGUUUUGUUCAUGUUGUCCAGACAUUGUCCAUCUGUUUGUUACAAACCAUAGUCCUAACUUUUCAUGAUUCAAGGCAUGCUAUUUUCAUAUUGUGAGUAAUUUCUUUUUUUUUGCAAAAGUUUAGUUCAUUCUAAUAUUUUAAUACAACAAACAAGUAACAGAACAUUGAUUCAUAUUUGAUUAAUUGCCUUUAGUCUUACAGUUUAAAUUGGAUAGGACAGACUUUUUUUCUGUGGGUGUGGUGGCAUCUUUCAAAUGCCAUUGGCACUAAAAAGAGAGGCAAUCAGUUAAUUUUAUUGGAAUGUAAAGAUAUUUUAAAAGUUUCAGCAAAAUGUCCACAUUUCAAAACAUGUCAUUUUUAAUUGUUUUAUUUUUAAUCACGUUUUAAGAAAAUGUGUGAGGAACUUCCUUAGAAAUAAACUUUGUCUUCCAUUAUAA